GACGGAGGAUGCAAGUGUUAUCCGGAAUCACUGGGCGUAAAGCGUCUGUAGGUGGUCAAAUAAGUCAACUGUUAAAUCUUGAGGCUUAACCUCAAAAUCGCAGUCGAAACUAUUAGACUAGAGUAUAGUAGGGGUAAAGGGAAUUUCCAGUGGAGCGGUGAAAUGCGUAGAGAUUGGAAAGAACACCGAUGGCGAAGGCACUUUACUGGGCUAUUACUGACACUCAGAGACGAAAGCUAGGGGAGCAAAUGGG
rnacentral:rRNA from 1 species